rnacentral:rRNA from 1 species
UGGGGGAUAUUGCACAAUGGGCGAAAGCCUGAUGCAGCGACGCCGCGUGGGGGAUGAAGGCCUUCGGGUUGUAAACCUCUUUUGCUCUGAACAAGGCAUGCCAAUGGGUGUGUUGAGUGGAGGGGUUGAUUAGCGCCGGCUAACUACGUGCCAGCAGCCGCGGUAAUACGUAGGGCGCGAGCGUUGUCCGGAAUUAUUGGGCGUAAAGGGCUUGUAGGUGGCUGGUUGCGUCUGUCGUGAAAGCUCAUGGCUUAACUGUGGGUUUGCGGUGGGUACGGGCUGGCUUGAGUGCAGUAGGGGAGGCUGGAAUUCCUGGUGUAGCGGUGGAAUGCGCAGAUAUCAGGAGGAAUACCGGUGGCGAAGGCGGGUCUCUGGGCUGUUACUGACACUGAGGAGCGAAAGCAUGGGGAGCGAACAGG